AUGGAAACGCCAGAGAAAGCCAAAAACUGGUUGCUGACAGUGCAGGAGGUUUUUGUACGGCCUCUUAAUGACUUUGUAUCACUGUGGUGGACUUUUGGUGGAGGAACCAAACUCAACGUUGACUUGGGUGUGGUGCGGCCCACCCUGACCGUCCUCCCCCCCUCCAAAGAGGAGGAGCAGCAGAGCAGCGUCACACUGGUGUGUCUGGCCAGCGGAGGCUUCCCCUCAACCUGGAGGCUGGGCUGGAAGGUGGGGGGCAGCAGCAGGUCCUCAGGGGUGUCUAACAGCCUGGAGGUCCUGGGGAGGGACGGCCUCUACAGCUGGAGCAGCACCCUGAGCCUCCCUGCAGACCAGUGGAGGAAGGCGGGCUCAGUGAGCUGUGAGGCCAAUCAGAGUGGACAGAGUCCUGUCACUCAAAGCCUGGACCCUGCCCGCUGCUCAGAGUAGAGCCUCAGCUUCAUGUCUGCAAGUCAGGAUGCUCUCAGAGUUUAUUCAGCAAGAUUACUUUUCAUAUUUAGAGUGAUUUCUAAAACUCAUCUUACUCAUGUUCUCUGAUAAAAGUAGAAGUGAAGGGAUUGUUUCAAUAAAAGUACAGAUUUAUGAUAA